UUUUCCACAACCUAAAUCUCCUAACCUCUCUCUAUCUCCCUCAAAACAGACGCCCCACUCCCUUCUCCAUUUUCAGAAAACUUCCAAGCUCUUAUAUCUUUCAAGUAGAGGAAUGACGCACCAUUUUUGUGCAAAAAGGUCUCUCUACUCUCAUUAUGUAUCUAAAUAUUCCAAAGGAUAUUCCUUUUCCUCUUUUUUGUUUGUGCUUGACAACUUCGAAAUCAAAUUGAAGCAGACCACAGCCUCGCCAAUUCGGGAAUGAUUCAGGAGCAAUUGGGGGCGAAACACGCAAGAUUUAACAAAACCGGGAAAAAUGCCAUUUGGGCGCCACAAGCAGCGCCUGGCGCCACCUGUGGCGCUGAAAACAGUGUUGGUAAAUUGGGCAGUGCCCUGGUGGGCGCCGGGCUGGAUGCCAGUGACGUGAAUCUUCUCCAAAUUCGCCCGGGGCAAGGUUAUUUCGGCCCUAGACCUACCCAACACGUAUAAAAGCAAGAGAAAACCUAUUUUUUGAAGGGGGAGAUGCCACUUUGGAGGAAGAUACACACGGGAUCGUGAGGAAGCGGAGAAUUCUCAGUUUUCUUCAUCUUUUUCAAGUAUUUCCAAUUGAUUCAACACGUAUGCAAUUGUUUUGAUUACAUCAUGAGUGGCUAAACACCCAUUGUUCUGGGGUUGUGAUUUAGCCAUGAAUAUUGUUGUUUGAUAUUAGCUUGACAUUGAUUAUAAUUCACCAAUAUAUGGUUGUUUCUUCUA